rnacentral:RNase_P_RNA from 1 species
GAAGUCCACCAGGCCGCCGCUGGCGCAAGCUGUCAAAAGCCGGCGUGAAAACGCCGGGCCGAAAGGCCGCGCUGGAGGAAUGUCCGGACUGCAUAGGGCAGCGUAGCGGGUAACACCCGUCCACCGUGAGGUGAGGAUCAGAGCAACAGAGACGAGCCGCUUCAGUGCGGGUGAAACGGGCAAUCUCUACGCGCAGCAAUACCAAGUAGGCACACACGGAGUGCGGCGGCGAAAGCUGUUGUGUUCUAACCCGGGGCCCCCGGAGUGUGCGGGUAGGUAGCACCGAGCCGGUGAGUGAUCACCGGCCCAGAUUAAUGGCGGUCACGCUGGGGGCAACCCCAGUGCACAGAAUCCGGCUUAUCGGUGGACUUCACAC